rnacentral:rRNA from 1 species
CACGUAGUUAGCCGUCCCUUUCUGGUAAGAUACCGUCACAGUGUGAACUUUCCACUCUCACACUCGUUCUUCUCUUACAACAGAGCUUUACGAUCCGAAAACCUUCUUCACUCACGCGGCGUUGCUCGGUCAGACUUCCGUCCAUUGCCGAAGAUUCCCUACUGCUGUCUCCCGUAGGAGUCUGGGCCGUGUCUCAGUCCCAGUGUGGCCGAUCACCCUCUCAGGUCGGCUAUGUAUCGUCGCCUUGGUGAGCCGUUACCCACCAACUAGCUAAUACAACGCAGGUCCAUCUGGUAGUGAUGCAAUUGCACCUUUUAAGCAAAUGUCAUGCAACAUCUACUCUUAUGCGGUAUUAGCUAUGUUUCCAAUAGUUAUCCCCCGCUACCAGGCAGGUUACCUACGCGUUACUCACCCGUUCGCAACUCAUCCAGAGAAGCAAGCUCCUCCUUCAGCGUUCACUUGCAUGUAUUAGGCCACGCCGCCAGCGUUCGUCCG